CUUUCCAGAUGAUUCUAAUGUGCAGCCAGCCUUAGAGCCAGUGAUUUAUCACAUCACAGAUACCCAGAAAAUGCUUGAUGGAUGUUUGAUUGAUUGACCUGAGUCCAGAUGUGGGCCCAAAUUUCCUAAUUAACUACCCAAAUGUAUUUGGCUACCAGAAAAAGGUGGCUAACCCAAUAGACUUAAUAAAUAUUGUUUGGGGCUGAAGAUGGUAAUCUUGAUGUUGACAGUGAUUAUGGUGAUGAUGAUAAAAAUCUGAAACAAAUUCUGGCAUUUCUAGUCUCAGCACAGGACAACAGUUCCCCAAAAAGAAAUCAGAUCGGCCCAGCUUCGAUUUUUGCAAAUUCUUUUCUUCCCUAAGAGGUGCCUUGUGCCUUUCCAGUCACUCUAGAUGGGACUCUGCAAGACAACAGGCUUCCUGGAUCAGUGGAGCAGACUCACUGGGAAUAACCUAGUUCCUCCUCAUUCCCAAGGCCACAGUUUAUAAAAAGCUUAGUUAAUUUGUCAUUGUGAGAAACUUUUGGACACAACUAAGUUCCUUUCUUAAUGAGGCGUUGCUCCCAGGGAAUGGGUAGGGACACAGCCUUUUAGUCUAUGGCCUAAAAGGUUUGGGAAGGACAGAAGUUCCUUCAAUAGUUGUUGCCAGUUGUUUAGAGACAUUUAGAGACAUUUACUCAUUUGCUAAUGAGGCAAGAGUCAUGGCUCCAUCCCCUCAUUUAGCAUGGAGUUUUGCUUCAUUCUGUGAGUGGUGUUCACCCCUAAUCUCACUCAGUCUUGCAAAUGCCACUGGAGUAUUCAUAUAGAUGGUGAAAGAGGGGGAGGAUUGGAGAGAGCAUCUUUAUCCAUAAAAGGUCACCAUAGGUAUAGCCCAAGCAUUUAGGACUGGGACUGUUUCAUUUUAUAGCAGGUCUGAUUUAGAAUUAUCUUGACUAGAAGGUAAUAUGGUUUGGCUCUGUGUCUCCACUGAGAUUUCAUGUCAAAUUGUAAUCCCCACUUGUUGGAGGAGGAGCCUGCUGGGAGGUAAUUGAAUCACAGGGACAGACUUCCCCUUUACUGUUCUCAUGAUAGUGAGUGAGUUCUCACGAGAUCUGGUUGUUUGAAAGUGUGUAGCACCUCCGUCUUCACUCUCUCUCUCUCUCUCCUGCUGCCAUGUGAAGACGUGCUUGCUUCCCCUUCCACCAUGAUUGUAAGUUUCCUGAGGCCUCCCCAGCUAUGCUUCCUGUACAGCCUGUGGAACUAAGCUGGGGCCUUCAAGCAGAAACUAAAUUACAGCAGAAGCUCUCCAGGGGGAACUGAGAGACAGCGAAUUCUGGAAAUGCCAAGUAAGCCUGGCAAUUGCAAGAGAAAUAACCCUGGAUUUCCCCCUCUCCUGCCCUUCAAUUCUGGAGGAAGAAUCAAAACAAAGACCUUAAAGCCACACAAUCUCAGAGCCAGAAUGUGUAGGUUUCUAUCAAACGUCCCCUCCCCAAUCCUUCCCCAAGCACACACAGAGAAUCCCGGAUGCUGCUAGAACACUUCCACCACUGGAAAGCUCAGGACCCUCCAUCCCGUUGGUGGCUGCCCCAGUCAUUACAGAUUUUCUUCCUUUCACUGAGCCAAAUCUGUCCACUGGCUUCCAGGAAGAGGAGGCCUGGUCUGUGCCCCUGCCUGGCAAAGCCCCGUAGACUUUCCUCAAUCUUUCAAGUGUCUUCUUUAUCUUCUAUCCUGCUUAUAACAUAAGCACCACAUUCAGCUUUGGGUUUUAUAUGUCGGCCUGCUAAGUAUCUGAACCAGGUUUAUCCAAAAUUUGUCACAGUAUAUGAAUUGAUGUUCUUUGAAAAAGAACAAAGAAAGUUUUAUGGUCAAAUAAGCUUUGAAAAUGCUGGGUUAAUAAGCUUUGGUGGUCACACUAAGUGUUCAUCUACAUCCCUGGCUCUUCCCACUUUGGCACCCGCCAGCCCCACUGCCACUGUCAUCACCUGCACUGCUUUACCUGAGGGCCCUGUCUGGUCCUUGGAGCCCACUUUUUCUGCCCAGGCAACAAGAAGUGUGAAGGAAUCAAAACUCUCCAGGAGCAGCCCUCAACCAGAGACGGACUGGAGUUGGUGUGUGAUAUGGUUUGGCUGUGUCCCCACCCAAAUCUCAUCUUGAAUUGUAGUUCCCAUAAUUCCCAUGUGUUGUGGGAGGGACCCAGUGGGAGGUAAUUCAAUCAUUGGGGUGGGUCUUUCCCAUGCUGUUCUCGUGAUUGUGCAUAAGUCUCAUGAGAUCUGAUGGUUUUAUAAAGGUAAGUUCCCCUGCACAACUUCUCUGUCUUGCCUGCUGCCAUAUAAGAUGUGGCUUUCGCCUUUUGCCACCCCUAUGCCAAGAUUGUGAGGCCUCCCCAGCCAGAUGGAACUGUAAGUCCAUUAAACCUCUUUUUCUUUAUAAAUUACCCAGUCUCAGGUAUGUCUUUAUCAGCAUCAUGAAAACAGACUGAUAACACUGUGUAAAUACCCCGGCUCUCCCACACCACCCUUUGGGUGGGAUGACACUGAGGCCCUUGUUCUGAGGGCUGCCAAAGUUCCCCUGCAGCAUGAAGCUUCUAUUCACCAUGGGAACUGGCUCCACAAAACAUCCUUUAUCCCCUGCUUUCCUUCCUGAUCUCAUUCCCACGCCUUCCAGGAAACAGGAAUCUUUGUCUCAGUAAAUGCUCAUGGGGAACCCAAACUAAGACACAGUCAACUUGUAAAUUUCCAAGCAAGGGCUAUAGUCCAAGCCCUUUCCAAAACUUAUUUGACUGAGAAACUCUUUUCUCACAGUUCACCUGGAGGGACUAGGGUUCUGGAGGACACGCUUAGGGAAGCUCCGUUCUGGCCCUGGGCAGGAUGCAGACCUGUCAUGGAGUUCCUGAGGGGAGAAGUCAAGGACAGCAUGAUAGCAUGGAUGAUCAGGGUGUGAAGCAAGAAAGACAUUGAGUGGGAAUAUCCAGCCACCCAGAAACACCUGGAGUUGAGACUCCCCAGGGGCGGAGUCCUCUCAGAGACAGUCUGAGAGGAAGUGGCUGAUGUGGGCAUUGAAUACGUUCAUCUGCUGCUACGGAUUUGGGGUCUUGUUCUCACACUUCAAGUGCAGUGUGUGGAUUAGACUAAUUCGGAGUGGAUUCAUGCUUCACAAAAAAAUCAUACUGUAGCUGCCUGUGCGAGAAUUAACCCACCUGCUCUGCUUCUACCUGUAAGGAAAUGGUACCAAUUUCCUCAAGCUGCAAGACUGAGAGACAGAGACACCCCAGGAUUGGGCAAUUAUGUUAGGAAAUUCAACAUUCGAGAUGAAUGGAAAAUGGCUGGGGACUUUUUCUCAACAACUUGGCUCGAACAGGAUUGAUUCCAGGACUGAGAAGUAUUCAAGUGACUCAGUGCCUGCAGUGAUAUAAAAUAGGAUCAUUUGGUAGCUGGAAAAUCUAAGGUGUGCCCUAUCAUCAAAGCACCGGCAUUUAAUAAAGUUGAUUAAGGAUGUUGAAGCAGCAAGGAGGGAAACCAACCAUGGAACACCGGGUCAACCCUGCAUUAGGAGUCCGGAACAUCACAGAGACACAGGGAGAUGUCUUCUAAAUUUCUGCAUGGACCAGGAGACUUUUUCUUGCCUCUAGAAGGACAUGGAAUGUUCUUUCUGGAACACCCCCCAGCACUGGCUCAGGACAUCUCUGUGAGGGUUCUUAGAGGACUCAGGGAAUGCUGUCUGCACCUGCACACACAGGUGUGUGGGUUUCCUCUGGGCAUUGGCUGCAUGUUAGGCAUUUGGUAUUCUGUCCUAUACAUGAUGGGAUAAAGUGUUUAAGAGAUAAAUGUUCCAAGACCUUCCUGAUCUACCCAUGAAUAAACAACCUGACUGGGACUGCCCUCUACCCCCUGAGAAGGGCACUGCUUGGCAGACCAGCUGCUUAUACUCAGAAUCUGGAGAAAGGAGGAGGGAGGAAAGUGCAAAAGGCCUGGGGAGUAUGGCUUGGAAAAUGAAGUUUUUCAAGGUAGUUGGGGGAAAAAAUAAGUUCAGAGCCACAGUGGUAUGAGAACGAAAUAGAUGAAAGAGAAAAUGGGAGUGUGUUCAGAAUGGCUGACAUUGGCAGGGCAUGGUGACUCAUGUCUGUAAUCCAAGUGUUUUGGGAGGCCAAGGCAGGAGGAUUGCUUGAGGCCAAAAGUUUGAGACCAGCCUGAGCAAGAUAGUGAGACCUCACCCGUACAAAAUAUAAAAAAUAUUAGCCAGGUGUGGUGGUGUGCAUGUAGUUCCAGCUACUGGGGAGGCUGAGGUGGGAGGAUUGCUUGAACCAAGGAAUUUGAGGCUGCAGUGAGCUAUGAUCACGACACUGCACUCCAGCCCGGACAACUGAGCAAGACCCUGUCUUUAAAAAAUAGAAUGGCUGAGGUCUAUAUGUGUCCUUCUUGGUGUUUGAAAAAUAUUAGUCCAGGACAGAAGUGCUUGCUUUGAAAUUACUCUUGAUUGCUGGACUGGACUUUCUUGACCUCAAAUACACCGUGGGAUUGGGUAUUGUGAGUCAUGGCUUAAAGUACUACUGAGAUGUACGUCCAGACCCUGAGCCUUUUUUUUUUUUUUUUUUGAGACGGAGUCUCGCUGUCGCCCAG
rnacentral:lncRNA from 1 species